rnacentral:rRNA from 2 species
UUGGAACGGCUGGCGGCAGGCUUACACAUGCAAGUCGAGCGGUAACAGGGGAAGCUUGCUUCCCGCUGACGAGCGGCGGACGGGUGAGUAAUGCUUAGGAAUCUGCCCAGUAGUGGGGGAUAGCCCGGGGAAACCCGGAUUAAUACCGCAUACGUCCUACGGGAGAAAGCAGGGGAUCUUCGGACCUUGCGCUAUUGGAUGAGCCUAAGUCGGAUUAGCUAGUUGGUGGGGUAAAGGCCUACCAAGGCGACGAUCCGUAGCUGGUCUGAGAGGAUGAUCAGCCACAUCGGGACUGAGACACGGCCCGAACUCCUACGGGAGGCAGCAGUGGGGAAUAUUGGACAAUGGGGGCAACCCUGAUCCAGCCAUGCCGCGUGUGUGAAGAAGGCUUUCGGGUUGUAAAGCACUUUCAGUAGGGAGGAAAACCUUAUGGCUAAUACCCAUGAGGCUUGACGUUACCUACAGAAGAAGCACCGGCUAACUCCGUGCCAGCAGCCGCGGUAAUACGGAGGGUGCAAGCGUUAAUCGGAAUUACUGGGCGUAAAGCGCGCGUAGGUGGUUUGGUAAGCGAGAUGUGAAAGCCCCGGGCUUAACCUGGGAACGGCAUUUCGAACUGUCAGACUAGAGUGUGGUAGAGGGUAGUGGAAUUUCCUGUGUAGCGGUGAAAUGCGUAGAUAUAGGAAGGAACACCAGUGGCGAAGGCGGCUACCUGGACCACACUGACACUGAGGUGCG